AGAGAGAGACAUGCGCGCAUAUCAAUAAGCGGAGGAAAAGAAACUAACAAGGAUUCCCCUAGUAACGGCGAGUGAAGCGGGAAGAGCUCAAAUUUGAAAUCUUAAAGGGUUUCCCUUUACGAAUUGUAGUUUAAAGAAGUGUUUUCUGUUGAGGUUUUGGUAAAAGUUCUUUGGAAUAGGACAUCAUAGAGGGUGAGAAUCCCGUAUUUGACCUUUACUUUCAACUUUGUGAUACACUUUCAAAGAGUCGGAUUGUUUGGGAAUGCAGUCCAAAAUGGGUGGUAAAUUUCAUCUAAAGCUAAAUAUUGGCGAGAGACCGAUAGCGAACAAGUACCGUGAGGGAAAGAUAAAAGAACUUUGAAAAGAGAGUUAAACAGUACGUGAAAUUGUCGAAAGGGAAGCGUUUGACACCAGUGUUGUUUUUCUGAAAAUCAAUUAAAGAACUGUUUAUGCUAAGCUUGUUUAGACUUUAUCAGCUAUCUGUUUAGUUUUGAGCUUUUCUUUAAUGCACUUUUCAGUUAACAAGUCAACAUCAAUUUCUUUUGCUGUAAAAAAGCUUGAGGAAGGUGGCUUGAGAUUCGUCUUAAGUGUUUAUAGCCUCUUGCCUAUGCAGUCGGAGAGAUUGAGGUCUGCAGCGUAGAUCCUUCGGGGCUAAAUGCAUUUGUGCUAAGUUAUAGCAUUUUAUAGACAACUUGUUGACUAUGAUUUGUCUUGUAGCUUACUCGCUUAUGUUAUUUUACCUACGCUUAGGAUGUUGAGCGCAUGUCUCUCUCU
rnacentral:rRNA from 1 species